CUGUGAUUGCUCGGCCUGGAGGUGUGGCGCUUCUCGCUUGCUGAUUGGCUGCAGUGUGAGAAGGUCUCGGUCAGAGGACAGAAGGAACAUGGCGGCGCUGAGGAGAUUGCUGAUCGCUGGGAAGGUAAGGCCGGGCUGUGACGGUUCUCUCACUGUCCUCUCCCCGCUCUCUGACAUGGCAUUCACCGCUCUCUGUCUCUUCACAGGCCCCUGUUUCCGGCUUACUGCAGAGAGGAUUCCACGGGAGCUCCCCGGCCGCCCUGCAGGUACUGUGCCCGACCCUGAGCUGAGGACACCCGCCUUCCAGAGGCUCUAACCUUGACACCAUACAUAGCUUCCGGACUACAUUACCCAUGAUGCUCAUGGGCCCUGCCAGACCCUCUAU